rnacentral:rRNA from 1 species
UACGAAGGGGGCUAGCGUUGCUCGGAAUGACUGGGCGUAAAGGGCGCGUAGGCGGAUGGCACAGUCAGAUGUGAAAUUCCCGGGCUUAACCUGGGGGCUGCAUUUGAUACGUGUGAUCUAGAGUGAGGAAGAGGGUCGUGGAAUUCCCAGUGUAGAGGUGAAAUUCGUAGAUAUUGGGAAGAACACCGGUGGCGAAGGCAGCGACCUGGUCCUUGACUGACGCUGAGGCGCGAAAGCGUGGGGAGCAAACAGG